rnacentral:lncRNA from 7 species
AGUCACGGUGGUCGCCGGUGAGUAACUCCGGCUGGGCCCGGGAGAGGGUGCCACGUAUGAGUCAUCCUUUUCCCGGCGUUAUCCAUCCCUCACCGUGCAUGAAUCCGGGCGGCGGCGGCACGAAUUUUGACGCGGGGAGGUCACCGGCGGUGGAGGGUUAUAUACUCCCAAUUUUGUGCAGCAACUCGAUUGCCUUUCUCAAACAAAAUUGUAGAGCAAUGUACCAUCUACAAUUCGACUAUAGGACUUGAACACAUUUGAGCACUGGAUCAUGCUCGAAUUUGAGCUGAAAGUUGAUGUCAGUCAUCUGCUAUUCUGAAUUUCAGAUCAAACAGCCUGACAGCCAGUUUUUGAUUGGGUUUUUCUCUAAAUUUCUCAUAACAACUAAGCUCACACUCUUUAGCAAAGUUGUUCUCCUAUAAUUGGUCUUCAACUUUGAUGUGGCGACCUAGGGCAAAAACCCUUUUGUUUAGAAGUUACAAGGUCUCAAAGAUGGGCACAAUACACUGAAUUUCAGACUUAAUCAAAAGAGUUCAAAUAGGGCUCUUUUGCAAAUUAGUCCAAAAUUUAGGGUUUGGCUUUCAAGUCCACAUAUUUGUGAACCCAAGGACUUAAGAAACCUAUUUGGCUUGGUUUUUGCACUUUAACCCAAAAGUGGGCUAAUUUUGCACAUAGGCCCCUAGGGUUUAGUUUUAGGGUUUUCCAGGGUUCCAAUUAGGGUUUCUGGUAUCCCAGGGGUAUAAAUGUGACUCAAGUUUAUUCUUGGGGCCAUUUUAUGACUUUUACCCUAAAGCUUUUAGGUUUUCUCAACUUGGGUUAAGUUUUACCCCUUUAACCACUAUUUAGGGUUAAGUCCAUUAACCAGGGUUUCAUUUGCAAAAACAUUAAAACAAUACAACUUGUUUGAAAUUUUUGCCUAGUGAAUGCACUCUAGGUGUGUCAAACAUAUGCAAUGCCAAUGCUUAUGAUGUCAUGCUCAAGUUUUAGUUAUAGUAACACCAGGGGUGUUACAUCCUUCCCCCCAUAAAAGAAU